rnacentral:misc_RNA from 1 species
UCCGAGUUGACCCCGGCAGUCUCCUGCGAGUCCCCGCCAUUACGCGCUGGCAACACAGGACAAGGGUUGCGCUCGUUGCGGGACUUAACCCAACAUCUCACGACACGAGCUGACGACAGCCAUGCACCACCUGUAUACCGACCACAAGGGGGGCCGUAUCUCUACGGCUUUCCGGUAUAUGUCAAACCCAGGUAAGGUGGGGAUGACGUAGCUAAGCCUUC